AUGAAAUUUUCAGUUUGUUUUCAUGACCACAUUUUUUUUAAAUCUCCAGAAUUGUUCCUGCCCAUCUCCUUGCAGCUUGCACGUGUUGUAUACCUGAGAAUGGCUUCAAGAGCAAAUCCAUACAGCAGAGGAGAGCCGAUCCGGGUGCGCUGCGUGGGGUUGCGUACCAGCAGCAGAACAGUCUCUUUCAAAAAAGAGGGGGGGGUCAUCAAGCCCAAUAAAACGAGAGUCACCACACUUGCUGCUCUGUGGGAUGGAAACAAGGUCUACGUCUCCCCCCAAAACUCAGAAAAUUCUUUGUUUAGUGAAAAUACAACGUACUUUGUACGUAAUUACACACUGAGUAACAAAUAUGGCAAAGAUAGCUUAUUAGUUGAUCAUAAAUCAAGCGUAUUUAAAACUGCCCCAAUACCACUGAGCGAGAAGGAACGAGCAGCAGCGAUGGAGGUACUCCUGCCUUCAUCAGUUGAUAAAUCUGGUGACGAGCACAAUCUCUUCGUGUGCGGAGGAUACGUUACCCUUAGAGGGGAGGUCAACAAUGUGAAGGUCAUAAGAAUGACCCAGUCUGAGAUGGGAGAAAUACCCGUCUUAGACUUGGACCUGAAGUGUGGAAGCUCUAUACUAAGCAUCACACUGUGGCGCGAUGAAGCCCUGAUUCCAAUGUCUCUGGACGAUGAAGUAAUUCUCACUCAUUUAAGACCAAGCACUUCAAAUGGAGUCAACAAGCUUAAUAGCUCCUCGUACACCUCAGUCAAGGUACAAGUAACCCUCUGCAACAACUGAGCUAGCGCUAAUCAAUAACAGUUUUUCUGAAUUUAAAACAUAAUUCAGCAGUUGAGCCCAAUUAGAUAAAUAUAAAAAAGGAAGUUCAGAUUUUUGUUCAUCAGAUGUUUACAAAAUGGAUGAAAACCACUAAAUAGGGCUCUACUCUUAAAUUUAUUUCUGAAGGAUCUUAAGACUGGAGUAACAGCUGAUAAAAAUUCAGCUUUGCAUCAUGGGAAUAAACUAUAUUUUGAAGUAUAUUAAAAUUAUUUU
ensembl:lncRNA